rnacentral:rRNA from 1 species
CCUACGGGAGGCAGCAGUGGGGAAUCUUGCGCAAUGGCCGAAAGGCUGACGCAGCGACGCCGCGUGUGGGAGGACGCCUUUCGGGGUGUAAACCACUGUUGCCCGGGACGAACAUCCCUUUUCGAGGGGACUGACGGUACCGGGUGAGGAAGCACCGGCUAACUCCGUGCCAGCAGCCGCGGUAAUACGGAGGGUGCGAGCGUUGUCCGGAACCAUUGGGCGUAAAGGGCGCGUAGGUGGCGGGAUAAGCGUGCGGUGAAAGCUCGGGGCUCAACCCCGAGUCGGCCGUGCGAACUAUUCUGCUUGAGCACUGUAGAGGCAGGCGGAAUUCCGGGUGUGGCGGUGGAAUGCGUAGAGAUCCGGAAGAACACCGGUGGCGAAGGCGGCCUGCUGGGCAGUAGCUGACACUGAGGCGCGACAGCGUGGGGAGCAAACAGGAUUAGAUACCCUGGUAGUCCACGCCGUAAACGAUGGGCACUAGGCGCUUGGGGGAGCGACCCCCCGAGGGCCGGCGCUAACGCAUUAAGUGCCCCGCCUGGGGAGUACGGCCGCAAGGCUGAAACUCAAAGGAAUUGACGG